GGGUUGUGAGGUUAAGCGACUAAGCGUACACGGUGGAUGCCCUGGCAGUCAGAGGCGAUGAAGGACGUGCUAAUCUGCGAAAAGCGCCGGCGAGGUGAUAUGAACCUUUGACCCGGCGAUGUCCGAAUGGGGAAACCCAGUGUGUUUCGACACACUAUCGUUAACUGAAUACAUAGGUUAACGAGGCGAACCGGGGGAACUGAAACAUCUAAGUACCCCGAGGA
rnacentral:rRNA from 1 species